rnacentral:misc_RNA from 1 species
GUUCGAGCGUCAUUUGUACCCUCAAGCUUUGCUUGGUGUUGGGCGUUUGUCUUUCGAGACUCGCCUUAAAAAGAUUGGCAGCCGGCAUACUGGUUUCGGAGCGCAGCACAAAUUGCGGUCUGUUCCUGAAUGUCGACGUCCAUGAAGCCCCCAUUAUCACUUUUGACCUCGGAUCAGGUAGGGAUACCCGCUGAACUUAA